GUAGAAGGUGCUCAGAGACUGAAUUCAGCUCUUUAUCCCUUGAUCAGGUUCAGCUUUCCUCAAGCACCCCAGCCACCUCCAAUGUGCCCACAAUGUGCCUCAAAUCUCCCCUGGAGGACCCACCUCCAGAGGUGAAGGUAGCCAGUAUCUGUGCCCGCUAAUUCACUGGUCUCU
rnacentral:sRNA from 1 species